UACGGGGGGAGCAAGCGUUGUUCGGAUUUACUGGGCGUAAAGGGCGCGUAGGCGGCACGGCAAGUCGGGAGUGAAAGCCCGGGGCUCAACCCCGGAACGUCUUUCGAAACUGCCGAGCUAGAGUGCGGAAGGGCAACUGGAAUUCCCAGUGUAGCGGUGAAAUGCGUAGAUAUUGGGAAGAACACCUGAGGCGAAGGCGGGUUGCUGGGCUGACACUGACGCUGAGGCGCGGAAAGCCAGGGGAGGCGAACGGG
rnacentral:rRNA from 1 species